GUUUCAGCCGCCGCGGUAAUACGGAGGAUCCAAGCGUUAUCCGGAUUCAUUGGGUUUAAAGGGUGCGUAGGCGGAACGAUAAGUCAGUGGUGAAAGCCCUCAGCUUAACUGAGGAACUGCCAUUGAUACUGUCGAUCUUGAGUACAUUUGAUGUGGGCGGAAUGUGUCAUGUAGCGGUGAAAUGCUUAGAUAUGACACAGAACACCGAUUGCGAAGGCAGCUCACAAAACUGUAACUGACGCUGAGGCACGAAAGCGUGGGUAUCAAACAGGAUUAGAAACCCCAGUAGUCC
rnacentral:rRNA from 1 species